rnacentral:tRNA from 1 species
GCCACUAUAACUCAGCUGGUAGAGUACUCCCAUGGUAAGGGAGAAGUCAUGGGUUCAAAUCCCAUUAGUGGCUCCA